UACGUAGGGAGCAAGCGUUGUCCGGAAUUACUGGGUGUAAAGGGAGCGUAGGCGGGGGAACAAGUUGAAUGUGAAAACUAUGGGCUCAACCCAUAACGUGCGUUCAAAACUGUAUCUCUUGAGUGAAGUAGGGGCAGGCGGAAUUCCUGGUGUAGCGGUGAAAUGCGUAGAUAUCAGGAGGAACAUCAGUGGCGAAGGCGGCCUGCUGGGCUUUAACUGACGCUGAGGCUCGAAAGCGUGGGUAGCAAACA
rnacentral:rRNA from 1 species